rnacentral:misc_RNA from 1 species
AAGGAUCAUUAAUGAUGCCCUCGACGUCUUCUUGACUGGUAGGGUCGUGCCGUGUCUCUUUCGGGAGCCGGCCUUCAUCUCACACACCGUGAACUGUGGCCUCGGCCAUUUACACAAACUGUUAGUAAUGAAUGUAACAUCAUAACAAACAUAAAACUUUUAACAACGGAUCUCUUGGCUCUCGCAUCGAUGAAGAACGCAGCGAAAUGCGAUAAGUAAUGUGAAUUGCAGAAUUCAGUGAAUCAUCGAAUCUUUGAACGCACCUUGCGCCCUUUGGUAUUCCGAAGGGCAUGCCUGUUUGAGUGUCAUGAAACCUCACCCCAACCGGGUUUUUGCCCGGCUGGCGGUGGAUUGGGCGUCUGCCAAUUUACUGGCUCGCCUCAAAAGCAUAAGCGCCUUGGAUGUAAUACGUUUCAUCCUCUCGGGUGGCUGACAACCCCACAUAUCUCAUGAUCUGGCCUCAAAUCAGGUAGGGCUACCCGCUGAACUUAAGCAUAUCAAUAAGCGGAGGAA